rnacentral:lncRNA from 1 species
AAUCUGGGACUGAGUACAAGCAAAACAAGACCAAAGGAAGCUACCUGAGCAGGUAUUCCAGAUAUUCAUGCCAUACACCAAGAUUGUACCAGUGCCCCUUUCUCUGUGACACAUCCAUCCAUUGGAAACUUUCGUACAACUAGCUGAAAGAAGAGAAACAUCUUAUUUUAUGUCACUGGAGCCCUAAUGAUCGCAGCCAUUUCAGGAGAUGCCAUCAAUUACAGUGAGGAGCUCAUUCAGAAGUGAAAGAUGAGUUCCAUUCUCUGUUACUUAGAGGUCAGUGAUCAUUCCCCAACCUCUUCGUAGUGAACAAAUAGUAUAGUAA